rnacentral:rRNA from 1 species
UACGGGGGGGCAAGCGUUGUUCGGAAUUACUGGGCGUAAAGGGCUCGUAGGCGGCCAACUAAGUCAGACGUGAAAUCCCUCGGCUUAACCGGGGAACUGCAUCUGAUACUGGAUGGCUUGAGUUCGGGAGAGGGAUGCGGAAUUCCAGGUGUAGCGGUGAAAUGCGUAGAUAUCGGGAGGAACACCUGUGGCGAAGGCGGCCACCUGGACAACAACUGACGCUGAGGCGCGAAAGCUAGGGGAGCAAACGGGG